CUCCAACCUGUCAGAGCAAAUCACAGCAGAGUAUAAGGAGUUUUGAAGGGAGCAAAUCUACACGUCUAGUCCCUUGAAAGUGUCCACCUACAAGAGAGCGAAUCUUCCGUGUUCUGGGAAUUCCCUCCCUCAUUCUGUCAGUGUGGCUGUGCGUUCCUCUGCCAGCCGUCUUUUCUCUUCCUCAGCGCUCAGGCUCUUGACCGCUCCUACUGACAUCACUCAGUGUUCCCGCCACAUACACCUCGACUGCAACUCACAAACCACACACCACCCAUGAGUAUGGUUACUCUCAGGGUAGCCCUGAUGCAUAUUCUUGGUCCCUGCCGCGCUCCUGAAGGCUUCCGGUAGGAGAGGAAGAAGGCUUCCGGUGGGAGAGGGAGAAGGCUUCCGGUGGGGACAAAUCUCUACUUUGUCCUUUGUGGACUUCAUACGAGAUAGUAAAGGCUUCACCACUUUGGAAGAACCGAAAAAGUUCAGUGAUACUAGCCUGGGAAAUGAAUUUCAAAAGCAACUUGCCAUCAGGCUCCAGUGGAAAACAAAGACAUAGGCCUGACAUCACUGAACUUGAGUUAACUUGGUAGAUCAGAUUAUUGUGGAGAAGAGAGGCGACUGGACACACAGGGUGAUAUCUGCAAAGGGAC
rnacentral:lncRNA from 1 species